CUUGACAUCCCGAUGCUAUUUCUAGAGAUGAAAGUUACUUCGGUACAUCGGUGACAGGUGGUGCAUGGUUGUCGUCAGCUCGUGUCGUGAGAUGUUGGGUUAAGUCCCGCAACGAGCGCAACCCCUAUUGUUAGUUGCCAUCAUUCAGUUGGGCACUCUAGCGAGACUGCCGGUAAUAAACCGGAGGAAGGUGGGGAUGACGUCAAAUCAUCAUGCCCCUUAUGACCUUGGGCUACACACGUGCUACAAUGGUUGGUACAACGAGUUGCGAGUCGGUGACGGCGAGCUAAUCUCUUAAAGCCAAUCUCAGUUCGGAUUGUAGGCUGCAACUCGCCUACAUGAAGUCGGAAUCGCUAGUAAUCGCGGAUCAGCACGCCGCGGUGAAUACGUUCCCGGGCCUU
rnacentral:rRNA from 1 species